rnacentral:lncRNA from 1 species
GCAUAAUUGGUUUUCGACCUGUCAUAAGUUCUACUGGCAUAUAUCCUGUCACCGAACUAUGGGUUGUUCGAUCAGCCCAUAAUGCAAAUGACAAAAGCUGUGGCCACUCUUUAACUUUCCCAUUACAAGCUUUAACUAAUGCUUUCACAAUCGGUGGGUGACCGCGUUCGCUUUUUGCAUUUCCUUUUGGAUUAUAAGC